UGGGGAAUAUUGGACAAUGGGCGAAAGCCUGAUCCAGCCAUGCCGCGUGUGUGAAGAAGGUCUUCGGAUUGUAAAGCACUUUAAGUUGGGAGGAAGGGCAGUAAGCGAAUACCUUGCUGUUUUGACGUUACCGACAGAAUAAGCACCGGCUAACUCUGUGCCAGCAGCCGCGGUAAUACAGAGGGUGCAAGCGUUAAUCGGAAUUACUGGGCGUAAAGCGCGCGUAGGUGGUUCGUUAAGUUGAAUGUGAAAGCCCCGGGCUCAACCUGGGAAAUGCAUCCAAAACUGGCGAGCGAGAGUAGGGCAGAGGGUGGUGGAAUUUCCUGUGUAGCGGUGAAAUGCGUAGAUAUAGGAAGGAACACCAGUGGCGAAGGCGACCACCUGGGCUCAUACUGACACUGAGGUGCGAAAGCGUGGGGAGCAAACAGG
rnacentral:rRNA from 1 species